AUAAUAUUUUCUGUAUAAUAUGUA
rnacentral:snRNA from 1 species